rnacentral:rRNA from 1 species
GACGAACGCUGGCGGCGUGCUUAACACAUGCAAGUCGAACGGACAGGCCCUGCUUUUGUUGGGUGCUCGAGUGGCGAACGGGUGAGUAACACGUGUGUAAACUGCCCUUGACUUUCGGAUAACUUCAGGGAACUGGGGCUCAUACCCGGUAUGAGCUAUUGCUGCAUGGUGGGGGUUGGUAAGUUCCGGCGGUUGGGGCUGGUCUCGCUGCUUAUCAGCUUGUUGGUGGGGUAGUGGCUUACCAAGGCUUUGACGGGUAGCCGGCCUGAGAGGUUGACCGGCCACAUUGGGACUGAGAUACGGCCCAGAAUCCUACGGGAGGCAGCAGUGGGGAAUAUUGCACAAUGGGCGGAAGCCUGAUGCAGCAACGCCGCGUGCGGGAUGACGGCCUUCGGGUUGUAAACCGCUUUCGCCUGUGACGAAGCGUGAGUGACGGUAAUGGGUAAAGAAGCACCGGCUAACUACGUG